rnacentral:rRNA from 1 species
UGGGGAAUCUUCCGCAAUGGACGAAAGUCUGACGGAGCAACGCCGCGUGUAUGAUGAAGGUCUUCGGAUUGUAAAGUACUGUCAUUGGGGAAGAACGGUUUUCUUGAAAAGAUUGAGAAGACAUGACGGUACCCAAGGAGGAAGCCCCGGCUAACUACGUGCCAGCAGCCGCGGUAAUACGUAGGGGGCAAGCGUUGUCCGGAAUUAUUGGGCGUAAAGGGCGCGUAGGCGGGCCUUUAAGUCCGGUGUGAAAGAUCAGGGCUCAACCCUGAGAGUGCAUCGGAAACUGGAGGCCUUGAGGACAGGAGAGGAAAGUGGAAUUCCACGUGUAGCGGUGAAAUGCGUAGAUAUGUGGAGGAACACCAGUGGCGAAGGCGACUUUCUGGACUGUAACUGACGCUGAGGCGCGAAAGCGUGGGGAGCAAACAGGAUUAGAUACCCUGGUAGUCCACGCCGUAAACGAUGAGUGCUAGGUGUAGAGGGUAUCGACCCCUUCUGUGCCGCAGUUAACACAAUAAGCACUCCCGCCUGGGGAGUACGGCCNCAAGGUUGAAACUCAAAGGAAUUGAC